rnacentral:rRNA from 1 species
UACGGGGGGAGCAAGCGUUGUUCGGAUUUACUGGGCGUAAAGGGCGCGUAGGCGGUCGUGACAAGUCACUUGUGAAAUCUCCGGGCUUAACUCGGAACGGUCAGCUGAUACUGCUUUGCUAGAGUGCAGAAGGGCAAUCGGAAUUCUUGGUGUAGCGGUGAAAUGCGUAGAUAUCAAGAGGAACACCUGCGGCGAAGGCGGGUUGCUGGGCUGAUACUGACUGAGGCGCGAAAGCCAGGGGAGCGAACGGG